GGACUACCCGGGUAUCUAAUCCUGUUUGAUCCCCACGCUUUCGUGCCUCAGUGUCAAUAUUUGCGUAGCGAGCUGCCUUCGCAAUCGAUGUUCUAUGUCAUAUCUAAGCAUUUCACCGCUACAUGACAUAUUCCGCUCACCUCCACAACAUUCAAGACAGAUAGUAUCAAUGGCAGUUUUCGGGUUAAGCCCAAAGAUUUCACCACUGACUUACCUGCCCACCUACGCACCCUUUAAACCCAGUGAAUCCGGAUAACGCUUGCACCCUCCGUAUUACCGCGGCUGCUGGCAC
rnacentral:rRNA from 1 species